rnacentral:lncRNA from 1 species
CCGGCUCAAUUUUACCCAGGCCUUGAACUCAAAACACAAAAUAAUAAACAAAAUUAAAACAAAAUCCAUGGCCCAAAUAAAAACACAACAGAGGCCCAAAAUGGCAAAACCCUAGCCCAAUUCAGCACCACGACCAGCAGCCUCAGUGUGCCGUACAUCUCCUCGUGCCUUCACAGCGCACUCGACGCCCGAAGCACGACCGGUUUUGCACCAAAAUGGUCUGGGUUAUCCUUCCAACACCCGUUGACCUUGCCCAAAACCUGCAAAUAUGACAAAAUGAUAGAAGAAAGCAGGGACAGAAGAGCAGUAGAAUACAGUAAAAAGAAAAAACAACGUAAUCGGCUAUAAAAGCCGAACCUAAUGUAAUUCAAAGGAGGUUUUUUUUUCCCUCUGGAAUAUAUGUGAACAAGAAAACAGAAAUCAAAAGGUUUAGAUUUAUCCAUUUACACUCCAUUUUAAUCUAUUUUAUUUUUUUUGUGUGUUCAUUAUUUACAUGCAAAAGUAGAAACGAAAAACAAAAAGGGAGAGUACCUUCCGGUUUCGAAAGCCCGUCGCCGGAGAUCUUCUCGGUGUUGGAAUCGGACCGAAGAGGGUACGAAAAAUCCCUCCUUUUUUCGGCUUAUUGGGUCUAAAGGACAUUUUUUAAGGAUCGAGAAUGGGGCUUUAAAACCCGACUUUUGAGUGACUCUGGCCACCGUCCACGGCGAGGCUGGUGACGGUCUCUCGCCGGAUUCUGGGCAGCUUUCGGAAAAGGCAGAGAGGAGGAGGGAGAGCCUUUUGAAAUUUUUG